rnacentral:rRNA from 1 species
CCUACGGGAGGCUGCAGUGAGGAAUAUUGGUCAAUGGCCGGAAGGCUGAACCAGCCAAGCCGCGUGAGGGAGGAAGGCGCAGAGCGUCGUAGACCUCUUUUGCCGGGGGACAAAAGGCCGAACUCGUCCGGUCCUGAGGGUACCCGGAGAAAAAGCAUCGGCUAACUCCGUGCCAGCAGCCGCGGUAAUACGGGGGGUGCAAGCGUUGUCCGGAAUCAUUGGGCGUAAAGGGUUCGUAGGCGGCACGUAAAGUCUGGUGUUAAAGGCCGAGGCUCAACUUCUGUACGGCACUGGAUACUGGCGAGCUAGAAUGCGGUAGAGGUAAAGGGAAUUCCUGGUGUAGCGGUGAAAUGCUUAGAUAUCAGGAGGAACACCGGUGGCGUAAGCGCUUUACGGGGGCGUAACUGACGCUGAGGAACGAAAGCCAGGGUAGCGAAUGGGAUUAGAUACCCUUGUAGUC